UUAUCCGGAUUUAUUGGGUUUAAAGGGUGCGUAGGCGGUUUGAUAAGUUAGAGGUGAAAUCCCGGGGCUUAACUCCGGAACUGCCUCUAAUACUGUUAGACUAGAGAGUAGUUGCGGUAGGCGGAAUGUAUGGUGUAGCGGUGAAAUGCUUAGAGAUCAUACAGAACACCGAUUGCGAAGGCAGCUUACCAAACUAUAUCUGACGUUGAGGCACGAAAGCGUGGGGAGCAAACAGGAUUAGAUACCCUGGUAGUCCACGCAGUAAACGAUGAUAACUCGUUGUCGGCGAUACACAGUCGGUGACUAAGCGAAAGCGAUAAGUUAUCCACCUGGGGAGUACGUUCGCAAGAAUGAAACUCAA
rnacentral:rRNA from 1 species